CCCUUAGAUGUUCUGGGCCGCACGCGUGCUACACUGAACGGUUCAAUGGGUAAGGUAGUGCGAAAGCAUGACCUAAUCUCGAAAUCCGUUCAUGCUGGGGAUAGAAGCUUGCAAUUAUCCUUCUUGAACGAGGAAUACCUUGUAAGCGUGAGUCAUCAUCUCACGCUGAAUACGUCCCUGCCCUUUGUACACACCGCCCGUCGCUCCUACCGAUUGAGUGUUCCGGUGAGGCUUUGGGAGAAUGGCCUCAACAUGAGUUUAUCGUGUUUUGCCGUUUGAACUUAGUCAAACCUUAUCACUUAGAGGAAGGAGAAGUCGUAACA
rnacentral:rRNA from 1 species